rnacentral:lncRNA from 1 species
ACUAUAUUAAUAGGUAUUGAACGGAAAGAACUGUUAAAACGUAGUGCAUGUACAUUGAUCAAACACUGUCACCAAAUCUUGUGAUGUGACUUCUACGAUCAUUUAUCCGACACUUCUGUUAUGUUAUGACUCGUUCUUUUGAGCAAACAAGCUCUGCCUCAUGCAGUUGAGGGCCAUGCAUGAGGGACAACAUUUUGUGGCUUGCCCAUUGGCGUAGGAUUGGUCUAAGCUUUUUAGAUUUACCAGCAUGGUUAGCCGGUCAAUCUAACAGGUUACAGUACGACUGGCAGAUCUCAAGUAGAUUCUAGGUUCUUGUAAACUAAACCUGAUAUUCGCUACCUGUCGCAAACAGAGGUUUGCGAUGGGUAGCGAGGCACUGGAAGUGGUAAGGGAAUAAGUACUUGGGGCAGGUAGUACCUGCAGGUCUGAAGUAACUAGAAUAAGAAUGGGGUGGAGUGCAUUUGGAAGGUAUUCUCGUAUCGCAAAUGGCAGUUUAUGGGGCAGAAGCCUGGAGGCUUACGAAAAGGGUUGAACUUAAAUUGAGGACGACUCGGCGAACCAUAGAAAAGAAAUUCAUAGGUGUAAUGUUAAGGGGCAAGAAGAAAGCGGUAG